rnacentral:misc_RNA from 1 species
ACAGUAUCUAGUUUGUCUUUUCUCUUAAAAUAUUCUGUUAACUCAUUAAUUGACUGUUUCUCAAGAGAGACUGCUUAAAUUAGUCGUAGAUUUAUUACUUUCUAUGCAAUGAUUUAGCUGUCUCUAAGUUGUCUGGUCAUAUAAGGAGAGUUGAUUGAAUUUACACAUGCCAAUCAACCUACUGUUGCCCUCAUUGCAUAAUGUGAUCCAUAUAGCCGACCCAAUCUAG